UACGUAGGGCGCAAGCGUUGUCCGGAAUUACUGGGUGUAAAGGGCGUGUAGGCGGGGCUGUAAGUCAGAUGUGAAAUACCGGGGCUUAACUCCGGGGCUGCAUCUGAAACUAUGGCUCUUGAGUGCUGGAGAGGAAAGCGGAAUUCCUAGUGUAGCGGUGAAAUGCGUAGAUAUUAGGAGGAACACCAGUGGCGAAGGCGGCUUUCUGGACAGUAACUGACGCUGAGGCGCGAAAGCGUGGGGAG
rnacentral:rRNA from 1 species